UAAUGUCAACUGGUGGUUUCGAGUCAGGUA
rnacentral:piRNA from 1 species